UACGGGGGGGGGCAAGCGUUGUUCGGACUUACUGGGCGUAAAGCGUGCGCAGGCGGUCUUUUAAGUCAGAUGUGAAAUCCCCGGGCUUAACCUGGGAACUGCGUUUGAAACUGGAAGGCUUGAGUGUGGCAGAGGGGGGUGGAAUUCCACGUGUAGCAGUGAAAUGCGUAGAGAUGUGGAGGAACACCGAUGGCGAAGGCAGCCCCCUGGGCUAACACUGACGCUCAUGCACGAAAGCGUGGGGAGCAAACAGG
rnacentral:rRNA from 1 species